rnacentral:rRNA from 1 species
UACGUAGGGGGCGAGCGUUGUCCGGAUUCAUUGGGCGUAAAGAGCUCGUAGGCGGUUCGGUAAGUCAGGUGUGAAAUCUCCACGCUCAACGUGGAGGGGCCACCUGAUACUGCCGUGACUCGAGUCCGGUAGGGGAGUGUGGAAUUCCCGGUGUAGCGGUGAAAUGCGCAGAUAUCGGGAGGAACACCAGUGGCGAAGGCGGCACUCUGGGCCGGAACUGACGCUGAGGAGCGAAAGCGUGGGGAGCGAACAGG